GCUCCGUUGGUGAACCAGCGGAGGGAUCAUUACCGAGUUUACAACUCCCAAACCCCAUGUGAACCUUACCAAACGUUGCUUCGGCGAGAUGCCCCGGGCGCGGGCCGCAAGGCCUCAGCCCCGGAACCAGGCGCCCGCCGGAGGCCCAAACCAAACUCUUGUUUUUGUAGAAUCUUCUGAGUGGCCUUUUAGGCAAAAAAUGAAUCAAAACUUUCAACAACGGAUCUCUUGGUUCUG
rnacentral:misc_RNA from 1 species